rnacentral:rRNA from 1 species
GACGAACGCUGGCGGCGUGCCUAAUACAUGCCAGUCGAACGCUUCUUUCCUCCCGAGUGCUUGCACUCAAUUGGAAAGAGGAGUGGCGGACGGGUGAGUAACACGUGGGUAACCUACCCAUCAGAGGGGGAUAACACUUGGAAACAGGUGCUAAUACCGCAUAACAGUUUAUGCCGCAUGGCAUAAGAGUGAAAGGCGCUUUCGGGUGUCGUUGAUGGAUGGACCCGCGGUGCAUUAGCUAGUUGGUGAGGUAACGGCUCACCAAGGCCACGAUGCAUAGCCGACCUGAGAGGGUGAUCGGCCACACUGGGACUGAGACACGGCCCAGACUCCUACGGGAGGCAGCAGUAGGGAAUCUUCGGCAAUGGACGAAAGUCUGACCGAGCAACGCCGCGUGAGUGAAGAAGGUUUUCGGAUCGUAAAACUCUGUUGUUAGAGAAGAACAAGGACGUUAGUAACUGAACGUCGCCUGACGGUAUCUAACCAGAAAGCCACGGCUAACUACGUG